AUCUUUUUAAUAUAUUAGUAUAUUUAACUUCCAAUUAAAAAGUCUUGUUAAAGAAAAGAUA
rnacentral:tRNA from 1 species